GCGUGAGUGAUGAAGGCCUUAGGGUUGUAAAGCUCUUUCACCGGGGAAGACGAUGACGGUACCCGGAGAAGAAGCCCCGGCUAACUUCGUGCCAGCAGCCGCGGUAAUACGAAGGGGGCUAGCGUUGUUCGGAAUUACUGGGCGUAAAGCGCGCGUAGGCGGUCUGCCAAGUCGGGGGUGAAAGCCCGGGGCUCAACCCCGGAACUGCCUCCGAGACUGGCAAGCUAGAGUAUGGAAGAGGGUCGUGGAAUUCCCAGUGUAGAGGUGAAAUUCGU
rnacentral:rRNA from 1 species